rnacentral:rRNA from 1 species
GAUGAACGCUGGCGGCGUGCCUAAUACAUGCAAGUCGAGCGAACAGACGAGGAGCUUGCUCCUCUGACGUUAGCGGCGGACGGGUGAGUAACACGUGGAUAACCUACCUAUAAGACUGGGAUAACUUCGGGAAACCGGAGCUAAUACCGGAUAAUAUAUUGAACCGCAUGGUUCAAUAGUGAAAGACGGUUUUGCUGUCACUUAUAGAUGGAUCCGCGCCGCAUUAGCUAGUUGGUAAGGUAACGGCUUACCAAGGCAACGAUGCGUAGCCGACCUGAGGGGGUGAUCGGCCACACUGGAACUGAGACACGGUCCAGACUCCUACGGGAGGCAGCAGUAGGGAAUCUUCCGCAAUGGGCGAAAGCCUGACGGAGCAACGCCGCGUGAGUGAUGAAGGUCUUCGGAUCGUAAAACUCUGUUAUUAGGGAAGAACAAAUGUGUAAGUAACUAUGCACGUCUGGACGGUACCUAAUCAGAAAGCCACGGCUAACUACGU